UGAAACUGGUACGAAAAAUUUAUUCAUAAUAAAUAUGAAAACUCGAGAAUAGGGAUGACCAAGACGGUUGUGCCAAGUGCGAAGAGGAAUUGUUGUAGUGGCAGCAUGAACAAUAGGCUUGCAGUUGGUGAAGUUGGGUCAUUCGUAAAGUCCGUCUCUAUGCCGACAAAUACCAACGGAGUCCGUGUUUUCAGAUCCUUCACACAAAAAUUAGAUGAAAAAAAUUCAAUGGAGGUCAGAUUAUCUUGACAAAAUUUUGAAACAGAAACAAUAUUUUGUUUAAUAGCUGGUGCAUAUGAAGUGUUGUGUAGCUUAAAGGAAUUAUUUGAUGCAAGUAAUUUUGUAGAGCCAAUAUGAGUAAUUGGAAUUAUUUUAUCAUCACCCAUUGUUAUGCUUUUUAAACCAGUAUAUUCUUCAAGAUUAAGAGAUUCAAUGGUAACAUGGUGGGAAGCUCCAGAAUCAAGAAUCCACGGAUCAACAGCGGCUUGUGAAGUGGAAAUAAAAUGGGCUUUGGCUUGUAGAUGAUUGUGAGAUUAAGAUUUGCAGACAUUUGUAGUAUGACCAAAUUUGUUGCACAACUGACAACGAACUGAAUUGUAGCUGAAAUUAUUACGCCCUUGAGAUGGAGCAUUGGAAUUGUUAUUGCAAUAUUGAGAAUUAGAGUUGUUGGUGUUGGGUCGACGAGGGUUGCGGCUAUUGGAAUUAUUAAAUUUAUUUCGAGUAGUAACUGCUACUGUAAUUGGAGUGGCUACCUUCUUUGAUUCCUCAUAUUUAAGAAAGAGUUCAUUGCAGCAGAUAUGUCACGAAAUUUUGGUCCAAGACUACUAAGAACUUUCACAAUUAAUUCAUCAUUAGAUACUUUAGUACCUGUUGUUGCAAGUUCAUCACAGAGAGAUCUGACUUGAUGGAGAUAAUCUACUACAGAGUUUGAGUCCUUCGUAAGACGAGCAAGCUGGUCUCGAAAACUAAAAAU
rnacentral:lncRNA from 1 species